rnacentral:piRNA from 1 species
UAGAUAUUUCCCCGUGCUGCCC